AACGAACGCUGGCGGCAGGCCUAACACAUGCAAGUCGAGCGGACCUUUCGGGGUCAGCGGCGGACGGGUGAGUAACGCGUGGGAAUAUGCCCUUCUCUACGGAAUAGUCCUGGGAAACUGGGGGUAAUACCGUAUACGCCCUUUGGGGGAAAGAUUUAUCGGGGAAGGAUUAGCCCGCGUUGGAUUAGGUAGUUGGUGGGGUAAUGGCCUACCAAGCCGACGAUCCAUAGCUGGUUUGAGAGGAUGAUCAGCCACACUGGGACUGAGACACGGCCCAGACUCCCACGGGAGGCAGCAGUGGGGAAUCUUAGACAAUGGGGGCAACCCUGAUCUAGCCAUGCCGCGUGAGUGAUGAAGGCCUUAGGGUUGUAAAGCCCUUUCAGCUUGGAAGAUAAUGACGGUACCAGCAGAAGAAGCCCCGGCUAACUCCGUG
rnacentral:rRNA from 1 species